AAGUUAUAAGGAAUCAAAUUUCAUUCAGUGUAAAAAAUCCUACCGUAGCUGAGAUUUACACGGUGAGUCACAUUUGCUCUCAGGUGCGUCAUCGGACUUUGGGAAGAGUUCAGCAUAAUCGAUGGUCCAGUGAGGUGCCAGACACGCUAAGCAGAGACUGCUGAAUCACUCUGGGCUAGAUAGAUGGUGCUGAAGACCUUUCCCAGCUGAGGCUCUUCGAAGCAGCUCCUCAGCAGAGAAGAGGAAGACAGGAAAGCAAAAGCGUGUCUACCCUGUUCUGUCCCAUGCUGCACUGUCAAGGACAAAGGUGUAAAAAGACAACACCUUCUGUGGACUAUGCAGUGUAUCAGGGAGGCACUGGGACAAAAUGGGGAUGCAAGGGGGCCGUUAGGACAAGACUCUGCGUGCAUGGCUCGAGAUCACAAGACCUGGAGAUCCAGAACCAAGAAACCCAAGAGCACCAAGGAAAAGGCAAG